UGUGUAGGCGGUUUUCUAAGUUUGGUGUGAAAUCUCCCGGCUUAACCGGGAGGGUGCGCCGAAAACUGGGAGACUAGAGUGCGGGAUGGGAGAGUAGAAUUCCUGGUGUAGCGGUGAAAUGCGUAGAUAUCAGGAGGAAUACCGGUGGUGUAGACGGCUCUCUGGACCGCCACUGACGCUGAGACACGAAAGCGUGGGUAGAAAC
rnacentral:rRNA from 1 species